rnacentral:rRNA from 1 species
UAAUACGUAGGGUGCAAGCGUUAAUCGGAAUUACUGGGCGUAAAGCGUGCGCAGGCGGUUUUGUAAGUCUGACGUGAAAGCCCCGGGCUCAACCUGGGAAUUGCGUUGGAGACUGCAAGGCUUGAAUCUGGCAGAGGGGGUAGAAUUCCACGUGUAGCAGUGAAAUGCGUAGAGAUGUGGAGGAACACCGAUGGCGAAGGCAGCCCCCUCGGGUCAAGAUUGACGCUCAUGCACGAAAGCGUGGGAGCAAACAGGAUUAGAUACCCUGGUAGUCCACGCCCUAAACGAUGUCUACUAGUUGUCGGGUUUUAAUUAACUUGGUAACGCAGCUAACGCGUGAAGUAGACCGCCUGGGGAGUACGGUCGCAAGAUUAAAACUCAAAGGAAUUGACGGGGACCCGCACAAGCGGUGGAUGAUGUGGAUUAAUUCGAUGCAACGCGAAAAACCUUACCUACCCUUGACAUGUCAGGAAGUCCGGAGAGAUCUGGAUGUGCCCGAAAGGGAGCCUGAACAC